CCUACGGGAGGCAGCAGUGAGGAAUAUUGGUCAAUGGACGAGAGUCUGAACCAGCCAAGUAGCGUGAAGGAUGACUGCCCUAUGGGUUGUAAACUUCUUUUAUAUGGGAAUAAAACGUUCCACGUGUGGGAUUUUGUAUGUACCAUAUGAAUAAGGAUCGGCUAACUCCGUGCCAGCAGCCGCGGUAAUACGGAGGAUCCGAGCGUUAUCCGGAUUUAUUGGGUUUAAAGGGAGCGUAGGUGGAUUGUUAAGUCAGUUGUGAAAGUUUGCGGCUCAACCGUAAAAUUGCAGUUGAAACUGGCAGUCUUGAGUACAGUAGAGGUAGGCGGGAUGCGUGGUGUAGCGGUGAAAUGCUUAGAUAUCACGAAGAACUCCGAUUGCGAAGGCAGUUCACUGGACUGCAACUGACACUGAGGCUCGAAAGUGUGGGUAUCAAACAGGAUUAGAUACCCCUGUAGUC
rnacentral:rRNA from 1 species